UCAGUCUAAACCAGAAUUUAAUUAUUUUUUAUAAUGCACGUGCAAUGAGAUAAAACCAAACCACCUUAUAAUUUGGAAUAGAGACUUAACAUUUUGUUGGCUGGGACAUUGGGCUAUAUUUUGCAGCCUCCUCACUUGGCACAGAUAACUUCAUUUGUUUUCCAGAGAUUGUAUUAAUACUUUGCAGGAAUAAACAUUGUGUCUUGUUAUCCAUUGCAAUAUACAACACUUAAGCCCUUGGCUGAUAGAGUGAUUGUAAAGAUUAACUUUUCCGAGGAGAAGACAACUGGUGGAAUUUUGCUUCCAACGACUGCUCAGUCUAGACCUCAGGGUGGCAAGGUAGUUGCUGUUGGAAAAGGAAUGAUAAUUGGGGACAAUAAAGUUGAUGUCAACAUUUAGUAAUAACUAUAAGCUCUCUGUGAGCCAAUUCUUGAGAUGAUGUCCAACAUGUUCAUUUAAGUGGUGCCUAAGUUGGUGUCAGAAAUACGUCAAGGAAAAAUGUCGAACAACAAAUCAGAAGAUAAAUUCAAGAACUGGUUGCUUCAACAAGAGUCUGUCCAUGAGGAUGGCAUGCAACAUUACUUGCCCUUCGAUUGAGAUAGGUGGCUACGGUGAUGCUUUGUUGAACCUGAUAUACGCAUCUCCAUCAAGCCAGUUCGAAGAGCUCAGUUUAGAAUGUGAGCUAGAUGCUACAGGCAAUCAUCUAGAGUGAAGGAUGCUCAAGUUCACGGCUCACCUAUACCUGAGAGUAAUGGAAGAUUAUCGAUAGCUGCUCAGACUAAAAUGAUGUCCACAGUCUCAGAAGAUGCAAUUCUCGUUGGCUCAUCUUUCAGAUACCAAAGUAGCCUUGGUAACAACAAUAAGAGGGUUGGGCUUUUUGAUAUGGGUGAUGGAAGUAGUGAGCCUGCUGCUGAGGACAACAAUCAAAUGCAUCAGGUGAAAUUAGUUUCUAACUUCAUCACAAGCUCACGAUUGAAAAUCUUGUAUUGGUCUAUAAAACUUCAAGCAUG